AUUGAACGCUGGCGGCAGGCCUAACACAUGCAAGUCGAGCGGAUGAGAAGAGCUUGCUCUUCGAUUCAGCGGCGGACGGGUGAGUAAUGCCUAGGAAUCUGCCUGGUAGUGGGGGACAACGUUUCGAAAGGAACGCUAAUACCGCAUACGUCCUACGGGAGAAAGCAGGGGACCUUCGGGCCUUGCGCUAUCAGAUGAGCCUAGGUCGGAUUAGCUAGUUGGUGAGGUAAUGGCUCACCAAGGCGACGAUCCGUAACUGGUCUGAGAGGAUGAUCAGUCACACUGGAACUGAGACACGGUCCAGACUCCUACGGGAGGCAGCAGUGGGGAAUAUUGGACAAUGGGCGAAAGCCUGAUCCAGCCAUGCCGCGUGUGUGAAGAAGGUCUUCGGAUUGUAAAGCACUUAAGUUGGGAGGAAGGGCAGUAAGUUAAUACCUUGCUGUUUUGACGUUACCGACAGAUUAAGCACCGGCUAACUCUGUGCCAGCAGCCGCAGUAACAC
rnacentral:rRNA from 1 species